rnacentral:rRNA from 1 species
UACGGAGGGGGCAAGCGUUGUUCGGAAUUACUGGGCGUAAAGGGCGCGCAGGCGGCUGCUCAAGUCAGGCGUGAAAGGCCUGGGCUCAACCCGGGAAUUGCGCUUGAGACUGGGCUGGCUUGAGUGCGGGAGAGGAUGGUGGAAUUCCCAGUGUAGAGGUGAAAUUCGUAGAUAUUGGGAAGAACACCGGUGGCGAAGGCGGCACUGU